rnacentral:rRNA from 1 species
AUUUUAAUUACUAUAUCCUAUUAUUAAUUAUUAUUAAAAUAAUUAAAAUUUCAUACUAAAAUUUAUAUGUAAAAUAAAUUAUUAAUAAAUUCUAUAAAACAUAAAAAUUUUAUU